ACGACCGGUACUCCCCUCGAGCCCAUGACAACCGCCGCGACAUCCCGAUAGAUAUUCAUUGCUCGGAAUGCCAACCGAAACCUCGCAAGGGUUUAAUAUCAGUUUCUCAUUUCCCCUGUGUGUAACUGUUGCCAAAUAUCAUGUUCUAAAGGAUUUUAAGCUAUUUCUAACUUAAAUCAAUAAAAAAAUGAUUUCUGUUUCACAGGGGCAUUUUGGUCAUUUUUCCUUAAAAUCUCGAAACCAGCCAAAAAUAUAGUAUGCGAAUGGAAAACACAUAUUUCAUAAUAAAAAAUAAGUUUAGAUGACUAAAACAUUCAUUUAAAGCGAAACUAUAACUAUUUGAAUAUAAUAAAAAUAUUCAAUAAAAUAUUCUAUUUUCUUAUAAAACAAUAUUUAUAGAGUUCCCAGUAAAUAAUUUUUGUAGCGUAAAAGCUAAAUAAAUUCAUACAUAUUGUAAUACAGAUAACCAAAGCAUAAGAUUUAAUUUACAAUGACACAUGAGCCCACGAACGACCAAAAGUAUCAAAAGCGGUAAACCUACAGUUUUUGAUGAUGCAAGUCUAACUGUAACCCUUAUCAAUGUGAGCUAUCUACCAACUAUCCUGAGCCUAAAAUGGGUGGAAAUGAGGGUGGUGAGAUUAUAUAAUCCUAGUGAGUAAACAAAUACCAUCUAAAAUAUCUAACACUGAGUAAAUGGAGACAAAUAAAAUAGUUUAACAUACUGUAAUUCAUCACAUUUCAAGCAAAUAAAAUCAAUUCAUAUAAAUCGAGUAAUCAACAUGGCUUAUGAAUUUUUUAAAACUUUGGUUCGUGCCAAAAUCAUUCUCAUACUCAGUUAUCAGGGAUACCUUGACUGAGGGUUAUCCCAACCGAGUCCGCCAAGGCUGUUAAAAAGUUAUGUACGCAUAAAUCAUGUUUUUAUUUUAAAACAUAGCCGUUCCUUGGCAUUGGCUGAGUUCACCCUCACGUGGUGGUUUGGCGUGAAGUGAACUCUAAAGUGUUAACCUUAGGAGUUAUCCAUCCGCGCCUCUCAUACUGAGGUAUGAAUAUAAUAAAGUUACCGUGCCCCCUCUAAUAGGCUGGUCCACGGAACCUGUCCACUGCAAUGACUAAUCAAUAACCCACCAAUUCAAUAAAAUUUAACAGCAUGACAUGGCAAUUUUAUCAUUAUCCAGCCUAUCAAGGCAAACAACAGUUUAUAAAUUUUCAACACAAAUACCAAUUCAACCAUUCAUGCCAAUAUUAUCAUAAGCCAUUCAAUUCAAACCAUGAUUUAUAACACAGCAAUUAGUCUCCAAUUACUCCAUUUUCAAAACCAUCUUUCAAUUUCAAGAUAAUUUUAUAAAAUCAUUUCAUUUAAACACAUUUUGUUUAUAAAACAUAAAGAUUUACCAUUUAAACUUAUUUUCCAUAAAAUCACAAAAUUAGAUAAAAACCACUUUAGACAAUUAAGACGAUAGUAAGGUUACUCACUAUUUUGGGAGUCAAAUUCCGAGUACUCCGAUUCUUGAUCCUCAAGUACUAUCUCUUUACUUUUGCCAGAAUGCUCACCACCUGGACAUAAUGCAUAAUAAGCCAUUUACUACAUUUGUGCUAAAUUGUUAUAAAACCAAUUCAAGCUCUAUACUAAUGCAUGAAAUGGGAUGUAAAUUGUUCGAAUUAUCAUCUAAACACGAUGAUCUACACAAAUUCAAUUGUGUACCUAAAUAAAACGGUAUUGGCCUAAUUCGAUCUAUCACCCGAUUAAUUGGCCAAUACGUCCAAUUCAACUCCAAAUAAUUCCAUUUUUCUUCCAAUUCUCCAAACCAUCAAACACAAGUUAAAUAACUUGAAAUAUGGCAAAAUCAUCCUCAGAUUUUCUCUUGGAAAAUUUGGCCAUGGUGGGUGCAUCAACACUAUAAUUUUUCAAGCUUGAUUCUCACACCAUAAAUUACUAAUUCCUAACCAGAUCACUUGAAAUAAAAUCAAAAUCAUCAUCAAUACUCUACAAGGAAGAUUCGGCCAAUGGAGGUUCUUGAGGGGUAUACGGUUUUUCAUGCUCAACAUUACCAUUUUCGGUUUCUACCAACACAAUUCAUUAAAUUUUAACUAAAUAACAUAAGACAUCACAAGAUUCAUCUUCAAUAUUGCCUUUAUGAAAUUCGGCCAAUGAAGAAUCCAUGAAGAACAUGUAAUUUUUCUUACUUGUUUUCCUUCCAAACAUGAUAAAUCAACUAUAAACACUAAAAUAUCUCAAAAUCUAACCAAAUAAAUCAUCAAAUCUUCUCUCUCUAAAUUCGUUCAGCCAUGAAUCCUUCAUGAUAUCUUGUGAUUCAAUCAUGGAAAAUGCAAAAGAAUGCAUGGGAAAGGUAGAUCACAAGUCAAAAUAAAGAAAUUUUACCUUUGAUUGCUUGAUUACUUGAAAUCCACCAAUUUUCUCUUGAAUUUUCACCCUAGGGUUCUUGUUCUUUCUUUUCUUCCUUUGUUCUUGCUUUGGCCAGCCAUAUGAAG
rnacentral:lncRNA from 1 species